GUCUCUGCCACGUGGAAUCAUUCAGAGCAUCGAGACACCUGGCAGCCGACUAGUUAGCGACCAACCCCUAUCCUCAUCACCUUAGAAAUUACAUCAGAUUCAAGACCGCCUUUAGCACUGAGGAGAAUGGCUCCAUCUACAUCCAGAAGAAAGAGGACGACAAGAAAAUGAGAAUCGCGUCUCACUACCGGAAAAAGGAGAAAAAUGUUAAACGUAUACACAGUCUCAGAACUGAAAGAAUAAGUCGGUCUUUAGAUUACUGGUAUGAUUUUUCAAACAUAUUCGCAAUUGAAAAACUUUUUUUAAUGGUGAAGAUAGUGAAUACCAGGUUAACUGUAUAUAUUAUGAAGCUUCAGAUUUUGUACAUGCAUUAAAUGUAUCUAAAUGUGAUUUUGCAGCUUUUUCAUUUAAUAUACGAAGUUUACCGCGGAAA